rnacentral:rRNA from 1 species
GCGGACGGGUGAGGAAUGCGUCGGAAUCUACCCUAUGGUGGGGGAUAACACAGGGAAACUUGUGCUAAUACCGCAUAAUGUCGAGAGACCAAAGCAGGGGACCGCAAGGCCUUGCGCGAUAGGAUGAGCCGACGCCCGAUUAGCUAGUUGGUAGGGUAAAGGCCUACCAAGGCGACGAUCGGUAGCUGGUCUGAGAGGAUGAUCAGCCACACUGGGACUGAGACACGGCCCAGACUCCUACGGGAGGCAGCAGUGGGGAAUAUUGGACAAUGGGCGCAAGCCUGAUCCAGCAAUGCCGCGUGUGUGAAGAAGGCCUGCGGGUUGUAAAGCACUUUUGUUCGGGAAGAAAUCAUGCCGACUAAUACUUGGUAUGGAUGACGGUACCGGAAGAAUAAGCACCGGCUAACUUCGUGCCAGCAGCCGCGGUAAUACGAAGGGUGCAAGCGUUAAUCGGAAUUACUGGGCGUAAAGGGUGCGUAGGCGGCUUUUUAAGUCGGAUGUGAAAUCCCCGGGCUUAACCUGGGAAUGGCAUACGAUACUGGGGAGCUAGAGUUUGGGAGAGGGUGGUGGAAUUCCCGGUGUAGCGGUGAAAUGCGUAGAGAUCGGGAGGAACAUCAGUGGCGAAGGCGGCCACCUGGCCUAAAACUGACGCUGAGGCACGAAAGCGUGGGGAGCAAACAGGAUUAGAUACCCUGGUAGUCCACGCCCUAAACGAUGAGAACUGGACGUUGGGAGGAAUUUGCCUCUUAGUGUCGAAGCUAACGCGUGA